rnacentral:lncRNA from 1 species
AACACCAAAAUGCUAUUCACUUUUGCACAAUUUCAGUUUAGCGGCUCGAAAUCUGAUACCUUUCGCCGGAGCCCUCUGAAUAUCCGUUUGAACUCAAAUUUGACAACCAUAUUCGGUUUUACUUAACUUAACGAAAGAAAUUUUAAUCUUUCAGUUUCGUCCCCGUUUGGUCACUGAGAGCUCUACCGAACAAUAUUUCCAACAGGUAGCAGUCGGAUUUUAUUUUCCACUUUCUGAGUGUCAGAAUGGUAUGAAACUUUAAAUCUAGUCUCAUAAAAAUAAUCCUGACAUAUUUUCAGAUUUUCAUAAUUUUCUGAUACUGUACAUUUUCUGCUAAUUUAUCUGCCCCGUUUCUUGCAGAAAAUUCUAAAUCUUUUGUUUUCGCUCCGAUUUUAGCACGAGUCAUUCCAGACUUAUAUUUUACUUCUUCAAGUCUAAUAAAAAUAGUAUUUCACACUAUUUUUUAUUUAUACUUAAUUUUAUAUUAAAAUCUGGUACAUUACACUU